rnacentral:rRNA from 1 species
UACGGGGGGGCAAGCGUUGUUCGGAAUUACUGGGCGUAAAGGGCUCGUAGGCGGCCAACUAAGUCGGAUGUGAAAUCCCCAGGCUUAACCUGGGAACUGCAUCCGAUACUGGAUGGCUUGAAUCCGGGAGAGGGAUGCAGAAUUCCAGGUGUAGCGGUGAAAUGCGUAGAUAUCUGGAGGAAUACCGGUGGCGAAGGCGGCAUCCUGGACCGGCAUUGACGCUGAUGAGCGAAAGCUGAGGGGAGCAAACGGGG